rnacentral:rRNA from 1 species
GCUUAUACAUNNGUCUCGAACGNNNAANCUCCUUCGGGAGGGGAUUAAUGGCGAACGGGUGAGUAACACGUGGGCAAUCUGCCCUUCACUCUGGGACAAGCCCUGGAAACGGGGUCUAAUACCGGAUACGACACGGGGUCGCAUGACCUCCGUGUGGAAAGCUCCGGCGGUGAAGGAUGAGCCCGCGGCCUAUCAGCUUGUUGGUGGGGUGAUGGCCUACCAAGGCGACGACGGGUAGCCGGCCUGAGAGGGCGACCGGCCACACUGGGACUGAGACACGGCCCAGACUCCUACGGGAGGCAGCAGUGGGGAAUAUUGCACAAUGGGCGAAAGCCUGAUGCAGCGACGCCGCGUGAGGGAUGACGGCCUUCGGGUUGUAAACCUCUUUCAGCAGGGAAGAAGCGAAAGUGACGGUACCUGCAGAAGAAGCGCCGGCUAACUACGUGCCAGCAGCCGCGGUAAUACGUAGGGCGCAAGCGUUGUCCGGAAUUAUUGGGCGUAAAGAGCUCGUAGGCGGCUUGUCACGUCGGAUGUGAAAGCCCGGGGCUUAACCCCGGGUCUGCAUUCGAUACGGGCAGGCUAGAGUUCGGUAGGGGAGAUCGGAAUUCCUGGUGUAGCGGUGAAAUGCGCAGAUAUCAGGANNAANNCNGGUGGCGAAAGCGGAUCUCUGGGCCGAUACUGACNCUGAGNANCGAAAGCGUGGGGAGCGAANA